rnacentral:lncRNA from 1 species
CCGUUUGACCUAGUUGACCGUUGACUUUGACCCAUUGACUCUGAUCUUAACCCGAUCAAUGGUCAGCAUUAACUUUGACUUUGACCGGUCAACGGUUAACGUUGACUUCUAAGGUUGACUUUUUGGGAUUUCGUCUGGGACCUCUCCUAGGCUAAUUUUGACGUCCUGGACCCGUUUUUGAAGUCCAUUUUCCCAAAUUCAAUCGUUGGAAUAAAGUUUGACUAAAGGUACCCUUUAUGUGAAUAGGUGAAAUUGUUAACGGUGAUUUCGUUAUUCCUUUUUGGUACAGCUUUGCACCAUCGGUGUACGGUGAGUGGACCCUUUCUAGAAAUGCAUGUUUUAUAGUAUAAUGCAUACAUGAAAAGCAUGAUUUAAUGAUUACGUUUUAUGAGAUAACGUGCUUAUUGAGGUAAUUUUGAAUUAUUGCUAUUUUUCCUAUAACCCGUGUUCUUAUAGAAUAUAUGAUGGAUGACGAUAUGAUAUUUAGAACAUGUUUCGAACACCUCUUUAUAGUAUAGAUGAUGGAUGACUUUAUGCUAUGAAGUUGCUUUUCAAUAUAUGUAUGUUCAAUGGUUUUGUACUUACCUAGUGGUCCUUUCCACUACGGGACGUAGGGAUAGAUUCCAAUCUGUCCCGGGCGACGAUUUGGUGUUGGCAUAGGGCCUGGAGUGUGUUUCCUCUGGCUAUUUAACACAGGGAUGGGGAGCCGGCAUAGGGCCUGGAGUGUAUUUUCCUCUGACUGUCUGCUCAGAGAUAGGGAGCCAGCAUGGGGCCUGGGGGUUAUCGGACAAUUCACUAGUGAUUAUUAUAUAUACAAGUUAUGAUUUGAGACAUUGCACGACAUGUUAGGUUUCGAAAAACCUAUGUUUAUCAUUAUAUAUGUGUUUUCAUAAAACCUGGAGGUUAGUAUGUUGAUAACUGUUUUAUUACAUAUAUAUAUAUAUAUAUCAACUUGGUCCACUCAUGCUUGUUUUGCGCCCCCUUUAGGACCUUAUAACGAGGAAUACAAUCUGAGCUACGACGAAUUUCCCUACCAGUGAUUCAGUGUUAUACAUUAUCUGCUUCGGCACCUAUUGUAAUAACACUUCUCUAUCAUAAAUUCCACUUGUACUUUGUAUUAGACGUAUGUUAUGAACAUUAUGUGUGUUAUCGUAAUUUUAUUAAUUAGCAGUUGAACUUUAGUUUUGUGUUAUUAGUUCCUAUUGCCUGUUUUAGCAUAUUUUCCAGCAUUUGCUUAAAUUAAAUGGCUUUCGUCACCUUUCGAGUGUCGGCCAGCAUGUGACCAUCCCGAUGUCCCAAG